AACGUUUCGAAGGACGCUAAUACCGCAUACGUCCUACGGGAGAAAGCAGGGGACCUUCGGGCCUUGCGCUAUCAGAUGAGCCUAGGUCGGAUUAGCUAGUUGGUGAGGUAAUGGCUCACCAAGGCGACGAUCCGUAACUGGUCUGAGAGGAUGAUCAGUCACACUGGAACUGAGACACGGUCCAGACUCCUACGGGAGGCAGCAGUGGGGAAUAUUGGACAAUGGGCGAAAGCCUGAUCCAGCCAUGCCGCGUGUGUGAAGAAGGUCUUCGGAUUGUAAAGCACUUUAAGUUGGGAGGAAGGGCAGUAAAUUAAUACUUUGCUGUUUUGACGUUACCGACAGAAUAAGCACCGGCUAACUCUGUGCCAGCAGCCGCGGUAAUACAGAGGGUGCAAGCGUUAAUCGGAAUUACUGGGCGUAAAGCGCGCGUAGGUGGUUCGUUAAGUUGGAUGUGAAAUCCCCGGGCUCAACCUGGGAACUGCAUCCAAAACUGGCGAGCUAGAGUAUGGUAGAGGGUGUUGAAAUUUCCUGUGUAGCGGUGAAAUGCGUAGAUAUAGGAAGAACCCCCGUGAA
rnacentral:rRNA from 1 species